UUKGGARRAAAUUGAUCCUGGCUCAGGACGAACGCUGGCGGCGUGCCUAAUACAUGCAAGUCGAGCGGACAGAUGGGAGCUUGCUCCCUGAUGUUAGCGGCGGACGGGUGAGUAACACGUGGGUAACCUGCCUGUAAGACUGGGAUAACUCCGGGAAACCGGGGCUAAUACCGGAUGGUUGUUUGAACCGCAUGGUUCAAACAUAAAAGGUGGCUUCGGCUACCACUUACAGAUGGACCCGCGGCGCAUUAGCUAGUUGGUGAGGUAACGGCUCACCAAGGCAACGAUGCGUAGCCGACCUGAGAGGGUGAUCGGCCACACUGGGACUGAGACACGGCCCAGACUCCUACSSSMSSCMSCMSUAGGGAAUCUUCCGCAAUGGACGAAAGUCUGACGGAGCAACGCCGCGUGAGUGAUGAAGGUUUUCGGAUCGUAAAGCUCUGUUGUUAGGGAAGAACAAGUACCGUUCGAAUAGGGCGGUMC
rnacentral:rRNA from 1 species